ACAACGUACAACUCUUAUCGAUAAGCCAUUGGAGGGCAAGUCUGGUGCCAGCAGCCGCGGUAAUUCCAGCUCCAAUAGCGUAUAUUAACGUUGUUGCAGUUAAAAAGCUCGUAGUUGAAGUGAGGGAGUGUGUAGUAGGACCGACUUGAUCGGAACUGCUGCAACCUCCCCCCUCCAAUCGGUGUAGUGGGGUAUUCACUUAUUCUACUACUCCUUUGGUCGUUUACUGUGAGAAAAUUAGAGUGUUCAAAGCGGGCGUUUGUUUGAAUAGAUUAGCAUGGAAUAAUGAUUGAAGGCUUUCGUGUUCGAUUUGAUUGGUUUGUUCAUGGAAGCAAGGUUAAAAGGAACAGUUGGGGGUAUUCAUAUUCACUAGUUAGAGGUGAAAUUCUCG
rnacentral:rRNA from 1 species